CCUACGGGAGGCAGCAGUGAGGAAUAUUGGUCAAUGGGCGGGAGCCUGAACCAGCCAAGUCGCGUGAGGGAAGACGGUCCUAUGGAUUGUAAACCUCUUUAGGCGGGGAGCAAUGCCGGGCACGCGUGCCCGGAGGGAGAGUACCCGCAGAAUAAGCAUCGGCUAACUCCGUGCCAGCAGCCGCGGUAAUACGUAGGUGGCAAGCGUUGUCCGGAUUUACUGGGUGUAAAGGGCGUGUAGCCGGGAAGGCAAGUCAGAUGUGAAAUCUGGAGGCUCAACCUCCAAAUUGCAUUUGAAACUGUUUGUCUUGAGUACUGGAGAGGCAGACGGAAUUCCUUGUGUAGCAGUGAAAUGCGUAGAGAUAAGGAGGAACACCAGUGGCGAAGGCAGUCUGCUGGACAGCAACUGACGGUGAGGCGCGAAAGCGUGGGGAGCAAACAGGAUUAGAUACCCGUGUAGUC
rnacentral:rRNA from 1 species